rnacentral:lncRNA from 1 species
GUUCACGGUGGCUUGGAGAUUGAUUGUGGUGGAUUGCGACAAAGAGGAAGACCGUGGGUGGCCAUAGCAGAGUAAGAGAGGCCGCGUUUUCACGGCAGAGACUCGGAAAAUGAACAGAGAAUACCGCGGGUUCACGACGCGGCUUGGACAAGGCCGCGGAAACGAGGCAGGGAGCUUGGAGAUUCGCCGCGGCCAGACGUCGCGGAGGUGAGCAGUCCGCGGUUCAGUCGAGCUGGAGG